AUUGAACGCUGGCGGCAGGCCUAACACAUGCAAGUCGAGCGGAGCGGCGGACGGGUGAGUAAGGCCUAGGAAUCUGCCUGGUAGUGUGGGAUAACUUCCGGAAACGGGCCCUAAUACCGCAUACUAUCAGAUGAGCCUAGGUCGGAUUAGCUAGUUGGGGGGGUAAAGGCCUACCAAGGCGACGAUCCGUAACUGGUCUGAGAGGAUGAUCAGUCACACUGGAACUGAGACACGGUCCAGACUCCUACGGGAGGCAGCAGUGGGGAAUAUUGGACAAUGGGCGAAAGCCUGAUCCAGCAAAGCCGCGUGUGUGAAGAAGGUCGUCGGAUCGUAAAGCACUUUAAGUUGGGAGGCGUUACCAACAGAGUAAGCACCGGCUAACUUCGUGCCAGCAGCCGCGGUAAUAC
rnacentral:rRNA from 1 species